rnacentral:tRNA from 5 species
GGACUCGUGGUCUAGGUGGUUAUGACGUCGCCCUUACAUGGCGGAGGUCAGGGGUUCGAAUCCCUUCGGGUCCA